UUCGCCCUUAGAGUUUGAUCCUGGCUCAGGAUGAACGCUAGCGGCAGACUUAACACAUGCAAGUCGAGGGGUAACAGGGAUUGCUUGCAAUCCCCUGACGACCGGCGCACGGGUGCGUAACGCGUAUGCAACCUACCUUUUACAAGGGGAUAGCCCAGAGAAAUUUGGAAUAAUACCCUAUACGAUCAUCAAUUGGCAUCAAUUAAUGAAGAAAACUCCGGUGGUAAAAGAUGGGCAUGCGUCCUAUUAGUUAGUUGGUAAGGUAACGGCUUACCAAGACUCCGAUAGGUAGGGGUCCUGAGAGGGAGAUCCCCCACACUGGUACUGAGACACGGACCAGACUCCUACGGGAGGCAGCAGUGAGGAAUAUUGGACAAUGGAGGCAACUCUGAUCCAGCCAUGCCGCGUGCAGGAAGACGGCCCUACGGGUUGUAAACUGCUUUUAUACAGGAAGAACUAUAUCUACGUGUAGAUAUUUGACGGUACUGUACGAAUAAGGAUCGGCUAACUCCGUGCCAGCAGCCGCGGUAAUACGGAGGAUCCAAGCGUUAUCCGGAAUCAUUGGGUUUAAAGGGUCCGUAGGCGGUCUAAUAAGUCAGAGGUGAAAUCCUACAGCUCAACUGUAGCAUUGCCUUUGAUACUGUUAGACUUGAGUUAUUGUGAAGUAGUUAGAAUGUGUAGUGUAGCGGUGAAAUGCAUAGAUAUUACACAGAAUACCGAUUGCGAAGGCAGAUUACUAACAAUAUACUGACGCUGAGGGACGAAAGCGUGGGUAGCGAACAGGAUUAGAUACCCUGGUAGUCCACGCCGUAAACGAUGGAUACUAGCUGUUCGAUCAACAUUGGUUGGUUGAGUGGCUAAGCGAAAGUGAUAAGUAUCCCACCUGGGGAGUACGCUCGCAAGAGUGAAACUCAAAGGAAUUGACGGGGGCCCGCACAAGCGGUGGAGCAUGUGGUUUAAUUCGAUGAUACGCGAGGAACCUUACCAGGGCUUAAAUGUAAGUUGCAUAGAUCAGAGAUGGUCUUUUCUUCGGACUACUUACAAGGUGCUGCAUGGUUGUCGUCAGCUCGUGCCGUGAGGCGUCAGGUUAAGUCCUAUAACGAGCGCAACCCCUGUCGUUAGUUGCCAGCAAGUUAUGUUGGGCACUCUAGCGAGACUGCCGGUGCAAACCGAGAGGAAGGUGGGGAUGACGUCAAAUCAUCACGGCCCUUACGCCCUGGGCUACACACGUGCUACAAUGGCCGGUACAGAGAGCAGCCACUACGCGAGUAGGAGCGAAUCUACAAAACCGGUCUCAGUUCGGAUCGCAGUCUGCAACUCGACUGCGUGAAGCUGGAAUCGCUAGUAAUCGGAUAUCAGCCAUGAUCCGGUGAAUACGUUCCCGGGCCUUGUACACACCGCCCGUCAAACCAUGGAAGCUGGGGGUGCCUGAAGUCUGUGACCGCAAGGAGCAGCCUAGGGUAAAACUGGUAACUGGGGUUAAGUCGUAACAAGGUAAAGGGCGAAUUCGUUUAAACCUGCAGGACUAGUCCCUUUAGUGAGG
rnacentral:rRNA from 1 species